UACCUGAUUCAGCGGCGGACGGGUGAGUAAUGCCUAGGAAUCUGCCCGAUAGUGGGGGACAACGUUUCGAAAGGAACGCUAAUACCGCAUACGUCCUACGGGAGAAAGUGGGGGAUCUUCGGACCUCACGCUAUCGGAUGAGCCUAGGUCGGAUUAGCUAGUUGGUGAGGUAAUGGCUCACCAAGGCGACGAUCCGUAACUGGUCUGAGAGGAUGAUCAGUCACACUGGAACUGAGACACGGUCCAGACUCCUACGGGAGGCAGCAGUGGGGAAUAUUGGACAAUGGGCGAAAGCCUGAUCCAGCCAUGCCGCGUGUGUGAAGAAGGUCUUCGGAUUGUAAAGCACUUUAAGUUGGGAGGAAGGGCAGUAAGCUAAUACCUUGCUGUUUUGACGUUACCAACAGAAUAAGCACCGGCUAACUUCGUGCCAGCAGCCGCGGUAAUACGAAGGGUGCAAGCGUUAACCGGAAUUACUGGGCGUAAAGCGCGCGUAGGUGGUUCAGCAAGUUGGAUGUGAAAUCCCCGGGCUCAACCUGGGAACUGCAUCCAAAACUACUGAGCUAGAGUACGGUAGAGGGUGGUGGAAUUUCCUGUGUAGCG
rnacentral:rRNA from 1 species